rnacentral:misc_RNA from 1 species
GGCUUAUUGAAAAUAAUUUUAGGUCUGAUCUGCCCAAUGAAUUAUUAAAUGGCUGCAGUAUUUUAACUGUACAAAGGUAGCAUAAUAAUUAGCUUCUUAAUUAGGGGCUGGAAUGAAUGAUUGAACGAGAUAAUAACUGUCUUAAUAUAAAUUUUAGAAUUUUAUUUUUAAGUUAAAAAGCUUAAAUAUGUUUAAAAGACGAGAAGACCCUAUAGAAUUUUAUAUUAUUAUUAUAUUUAGAUUGUUGAAUUUAAAAUUUAAAUUUUAAUUAGAGUAUUUGGUUGGGGUGAUUGAAAAAUUUAUUUAACUUUUUUAUAAGUAUAACAUAUAUAUAUGUGUAUUUGAUCCAGAGUGUACUGAUUAUAAGAUUAAAUUACCUUAGGGAUAACAGCGUAAUUUUUUUGGAGAGUUCUUAUCGAUAAAAGAGAUUGCGACCUCGAUGUUGGAUUAAAGUUAAUUUUUGAAGUAGAAGUUAAAAAAUUAGGUCUGUUCGACCUUUGAAACUUUACAUGAUCUGAGUUUAAAUCGGCGUGAGCCAGGUUGGAUUCUAUCUUUAAAAUUUAUUAGUAUUAUAGUACGAAAGGACCUAGUAUUAGUUAAAAUAAUUUAAUUUGAGUAUUAUUAAUUAUUUUGGCAGAUUAGUGCUUUAAAUUUAGAAUUUAAAUAUGUAUAUUUAUUUAUACAAAUAAUAC